AAGGCCGUUAGGUGUAAAGCCCUGUCGAGCGGGGAGAAACGCAGGUGGGCGAACAGUCCAUCUGUCUGACGGUACCGCUAAAGGAAGCUCCGGCCAACUCCGUGCCAGCAGCCGCGGUAAUACGGGGGAGCAAACGUUGUUCGGAAUUACUGGGCGUAAAGGGCGUGCAGGCGGCCUUGUAGGUGGAAUGUGAAACUGCCCUGGCUCAACCAGGGAACUGCAUCCCAGACUGCAAGGCUUGAGUACAGGAGAGGAUGGGGGAAUUCCCGGUGUAGCGGUGAAAUGCAUUGAUAUCGGGAGGAACACCAGUGGCGAAGGCGCCCAUCUGGCCUGAUACUGACGCUCAGGCGCGAAAGCUAGGGGAGCAAACAGGAUUAGAUACCCUGGUAGUCCUAGCUGUAAACGGUGGGCACUAGGUGUAGGAGGCAUCGACCCCUCCUGUGCCGCAGCUAACGCAUUAAGUGCCCCGCCUGGGGAGUACGACCGCAAGGUUG
rnacentral:rRNA from 1 species